AUACUUACCUGGCAGGGGAGAUACCAUGAUCACGAAGGUGAUUUUCCCAGGGCAAGGCUUAUCCAUUGUUCUCUGGAUGUGCUGACCCCUGCGAUUUCCCCAAAUGUGGGAAACUCAAUUGCAUUAUUUGUGGUAGUGGGGGACUGUGUUCACGCUCUCCCCUU
ensembl:snRNA U1 U1 spliceosomal RNA